AUGUCUGUAGCGCAAUGGAUAGCGUGUUGGAUUUCUAAUCCAAAGGUCAUGGGUUCGAAUACCCCUGGGAUAGG